rnacentral:rRNA from 1 species
GUAGGGUGCGAGCGUUAAUCGGAAUUACUGGGCGUAAAGCGUGCGCAGGCGGUUUUGUAAGACAGGCGUGAAAUCCCCGGGCUUAACCUGGGAAUUGCGCUUGUGACUGCAAGGCUAGAGUGCGUCAGAGGGGGGUAGAAUUCCACGUGUAGCAGUGAAAUGCGUAGAGAUGUGGAGGAAUACCGAUGGCGAAGGCAGCCCCCUGGGACGUGACUGACGCUCAUGCACGAAAGCGUGGGGGAGCAAACAGGAUUAGAUACCCUGGUAGUCCACGCCCUAAACGAUGUCAACUAGUUGUUGGGGAUUCAUUUUCUCAGUAACGUAGCUAACGCGUGAAGUUGACCGCCUGGGGAGUACGGUCGCAAGAUUA